rnacentral:snRNA from 1 species
GCUCUGGCUGCUGUAUCACAAUACCAGAACCCAACAAUACACAGAUUAGUAUGACCUCUGCACAAGGAGGACACAAAAAUUUAUAAAAUGUUUCAUUUUUUU